rnacentral:rRNA from 1 species
GACGAACGCUGGCGGCGUGCCUAAUACAUGCAAGUAGGACGCAGUUGCGAACGGGUGAGUAACGCGUAGGUAACUGCCUAUUAGAGGGGGAUAACUAUUGGAAACGAUAGCUAAUACCGCAUACUAGUAGAUGGACCUGCGUUGUAUUAGAUAGUAGGUGGGGUAAUGGCCUACCUAGGCGACGAUACAUAGCCGAGGUGGGAGGGUGUGCGGCCACGCUGGGACGGAUGCACGGCCAAGACUCCUACGGGUGGGAGCAGUAGGGAAUCUGCGGGAAUGUGGGGAACCGUGAACGAGCAACGCCGCGGGAGUGAAGAAGGUUUUCGGGUCGUAAAGCUCUGUUGUUAAGGAAGCGGUACUUAACCAGAAAGGGACGGCUAACUACGUGCCAGCAGCCGCGGUAAUUC